rnacentral:tRNA from 1 species
UGGCUCAGUCGGUUAAGCGUCUGACUUUAGCUCAGAGCAUGAUCUCACAGUUCGCGGGUUCGAGCCCCGC